rnacentral:rRNA from 1 species
GCUCAGGAUGAACGCUAGCUACAGGCUUAACACAUGCAAGUCGAGGGGCAGCAUAAAUCUAGCAAUAGAUUUGAUGGCGACCGGCGCACGGGUGAGUAACACGUAUCCAACCUACCUAUUACUCGGGUAUAGCCUUUCGAAAGAAAGAUUAAUCCCCGAUACGAUAUUGAGUUCGCAUGAAUUUGAUAUGAAAGAUUUAUUGGUAUUAGAUGGGGAUGCGUUCCAUUAGAUAGUUGGUGAGGUAACGGCUCACCAAGUCUUCGAUGGAUAGGGGUUCUGAGAGGAAGGUCCCCCACACUGGAACUGAGACACGGUCCAGACUCCUACGGGAGGCAGCAGUGAGGAAUAUUGGUCAAUGGGCGAGAGCCUGAACCAG